GUCUGUGGCCCUGCCACCCUGAACAAGCCCGAUCUCAUCUGAUCUCGGAAGCUAAGCAGGGUCGGGCCUGGUUAGUACUUAGAUGGGAGACCACCUAGGAAGACCAGGUGCCAUAGGCG
rnacentral:rRNA from 1 species